rnacentral:misc_RNA from 1 species
GAUGAAGAACGUAGCGAAAUGUGAUACGUAAUGUGAAUUGCAGAAUUCAGUGAAUCAUCGAGUCUUUGAACGCACAUUGCGCCCCCUGGUAUUCCGGGGGGCAUGCCUGUCCGAGCGUCAUUGCUGCCCUCAAGCACGGCUUGUGUGUUGGGCCUCCGUCCUCCUCCCGGGGGACGGGCCCGAAAGGCAGCGGCGGCACCGCGUCCGGUCCUCGAGCGUAUGGGGCUUCGUCACCCGCUCUUGUAGGCCCGGUCGGCGCUUGCCGACACAUCAAUCUUUUUUCCAGGUUGACCUCGGAUCAGGUAGGGAUACCCGCUGAACUUAAGCAUAUCAAUAAGCGGAGGA